CCUACGGGAGGCAGCAGUGGGGAAUAUUGCACAAUGGGGGAAACCCUGAUGCAGCGACGCCGCGUGAGUGAAGAAGUCAUUCGUUAUGUAAAGCUCUAUCAGCAGGGAAGAAAAUGACGGUACCUGAGUAAGAAGCCCCGGCUAACUACGUGCCAGCAGCCGCGGUAAUACGUAGGGGGCAAGCGUUAUCCGGAUUUACUGGGUGUAAAGGGAGCGUAGACGGCAGUGAAAGUCUGGAGUGAAAGGCGGGGGCUCAACCCCCGGACUGCUCUGGAAACUGUACGGCUGGAGUGCAGGAGAGGUAAGUGGAAUUCCUAGUGUAGCGGUGAAAUGCGUAGAUAUUAGGAGGAACACCAGUGGCGAAGGCGGCUUGCUGGGCUGUAACUGACGUUGAGGCUCGAAAGCGUGGGGAGCAAACAGGAUUAGAUACCCGAGUAGUC
rnacentral:rRNA from 1 species